UACGAAGGGGGCUAGCGUUGCUCGGAAUCACUGGGCGUAAAGGGUGCGUAGGCGGGUCUUUAAGUCAAGGGUGAAAUCCUGGAGCUCAACUCCAGAACUGCCUUUGAUACUGAAGAUCUUGAGUUCGGGAGAGGUGAGUGGAACUGCGAGUGUAGAGGUGAAAUUCGUAGAUAUUCGCAAGAACACCAGUGGCGAAGGCGGCUCACUGGCCCGGUACUGACGCUGAGGUGCGAAAGCGUGGGGAGCAAACAGG
rnacentral:rRNA from 1 species